rnacentral:rRNA from 1 species
CAAUCAAACCGGGAGAUAGCUGGUUCUCCCCGAAAGCUAUUUAGGUAGCGCCUCGUGAAUUCAUCUCCGGGGGUAGAGCACUGUUUCGGCUAGGGGGCCAUCCCGGCUUACCAACCCGAUGCAAACUGCGAAUACCGGAGAAUGUUAUCACGGGAGACACACGGCGGGUGCUAACGUCCGUCGUGAAGAGGGAAACAACCCAGACCGCCAGCUAAGGUCCCAAAGUCAUGGUUAAGUGGGAAACGAUGUGGGAAGGCCCAGACAGCCAGGAUGUUGGCUUAGAAGCAGCCAUCAUUUAAAGAAAGCGUAAUAGCUCACUGGUCGAGUCGGCCUGCGCGGAAGAUGUAACGGGGCUAAACCAUGCACCGAAGCUGCGGCAGCGAACGUAUCACCCAAGACAACUUUACGGAGUUGACGAUUGACGGAGCGAAGCGACGUCAAAGCGUUCAUUAAAGUCGAGUUGGCUUAGGGAUACGUUCGUUGGGUAGGGGAGCGUUCUGUAAGCCUGUGAAGGUGUGUCGUGAGGCAUGCUGGAGGUAUCAGAAGUGCGAAUGCUGACAUAAGUAACGAUAAAGCGGGUGAAAAGCCCGCUCGCCGGAAGACCAAGGGUUCCUGUCCAACGUUAAUCGGGGCAGGGUGAGUCGACCCCUAAGGCGAGGCCGAAAGGCGUAGUCGAUGGGAAACGGGUUAAUAUUCCCGUACUUGGUGUUACUGCGAAGGGGGGACGGAGAAGGCUAUGUUGGCCGGGCGACGGUUGUCCCGGUUUAAGCGUGUAGGUGUGUGUUCCAGGUAAAUCCGGUUCACUUUAACACUGAGGCGUGACGACGAGGCACUACGGUGCUGAAGCAACAAAUGCCCUGCUUCCAGGAAAAGCCUCUAAGCAUCAGGUAACAUCAAAUCGUACCCCAAACCGACACAGGUGGUCAGGUAGAGAAUACCAAGGCGCUUGAGAGAACUCGGGUGAAGGAACUAGGCAAAAUGGUGCCGUAACUUCGGGAGAAGGCACGCUGACACGUAGGUGAAGUGAUUUACUCAUGGAGCUGAAGUCAGUCGAAGAUACCAGCUGGCUGCAACUGUUUAUUAAAAACACAGCACUGUGCAAACACGAAAGUGGACGUAUACGGUGUGACGCCUGCCCGGUGCCGGAAGGUUAAUUGAUGGGGUCAGCGCAAGCGAAGCUCCUGAUCGAAGCCCCGGUAAACGGCGGCCGUAACUAUAACGGUCCUAAGGUAGCGAAAUUCCUUGUCGGGUAAGUUCCGACCUGCACGAAUGGCGUAAUGAUGGCCAGGCUGUCUCCACCCGAGACUCAGUGAAAUUGAACUCGCUGUGAAGAUGCAGUGUACCCGCGGCAAGACGGAAAGACCCCGUGAACCUUUACUAUAGCUUGACACUGAACAUUGAGCCUUGAUGUGUAGGAUAGGUGGGAGGCUUUGAAGUGUGGACGCCAGUCUGCAUGGAGCCGACCUUGAAAUACCACCCUUUAAUGUUUGAUGUUCUAACGUGGACCCGUAAUCCGGGUUGCGGACAGUGUCUGGUGGGUAGUUUGACUGGGGCGGUCUCCUCCUAAAGAGUAACGGAGGAGCACGAAGGUUGGCUAAUCCUGGUCGGACAUCAGGAGGUUAGUGCAAUGGCAUAAGCCAGCUUGACUGCGAGCGUGACGGCGCGAGCAGGUGCGAAAGCAGGUCAUAGUGAUCCGGUGGUUCUGAAUGGAAGGGCCAUCGCUCAACGGAUAAAAGGUACUCCGGGGAUAACAGGCUGAUACCGCCCAAGAGUUCAUAUCGACGGCGGUGUUUGGCACCUCGAUGUCGGCUCAUCACAUCCUGGGGCUGAAGUAGGUCCCAAGGGUAUGGCUGUUCGCCAUUUAAAGUGGUACGCGAGCUGGGUUUAGAACGUCGUGAGACAGUUCGGUCCCUAUCUGCCGUGGGCGCUGGAGAACUGAGGGGGGCUGCUCCUAGUACGAGAGGACCGGAGUGGACGCAUCACUGGUGUUCGGGUUGUCAUGCCAAUGGCACUGCCCGGUAGCUAAAUGCGGAAGAGAUAAGUGCUGAAAGCAUCUAAGCACGAAACUUGCCCCGAGAUGAGUUCUCCCUGAGACUUAGAGUCUCCUGAAGGAA